AGAAGGAUCCUCCGGGGCAGUGCAGGGUCUCUAGGGAAGUGCGGCCAACUAGGCAGCAGCUGCACUCCCAGAAGCCAUUCCCUGGGCCCCGCUUUGGACCCCUUCUAAAAAUGUAGCCAUCUUGGGGGACCAUUGGUUGAGCUUCUGUCCUGUGUUCCCUGCCAUUUCCAGGGCUCGGGCCAUCAAGUACCGUCAGGAGAACCAGGAGGCGGUGGGAGGCUUCUUUUCACAAAUAGGAGAGCUCUACGUGGUACACCACUUAUGGGCCUACAAAGAUCUGCAGUCUCGGGAGGAGACUCGAAAUGCGGCCUGGAGAAAGAGGGGCUGGGAUGAAAAUGUGUACUAUACAG
rnacentral:lncRNA from 1 species